rnacentral:rRNA from 1 species
CAGUCGCCGCGGGAAUACGAAGGGUGCAAGCGUUACUCGGAAUUACUGGGCGUAAAGCGUGCGUAGGUGGUUGUUUAAGUCUGCUGUGAAAGCCCUGGGCUCAACCUGGGAAUUGCAGUGGAUACUGGGCAACUAGAGUAAGGUAGAGGAUAGUGGAAUUUCCGGUGUAGCAGUGAAAUGCGUAGAGAUCGGAAGGAACAUCUGUGGCGAAGGCGACUAUCUGGGCCAACACUGACACUGAGGCACGAAAGCGUGGGGAGCAAACAGGAUUAGAUACCCCUGUAGUCCCUGUCUCUUAUAA